rnacentral:rRNA from 1 species
UACGUAGGGGGCGAGCGUUGUCCGGAUUUAUUGGGCGUAAAGGGUACGCAGGCGGCCAUGUAAGUCAGGUGUGAAAUCCUAUAGCUUAACUAUAGUAAGCACUUGAAACUGUGUGGCUUGAGUCAAGGAGAGGAAAGUGGAAUUCCUAGUGUAGCGGUGAAAUGCGUAGAUAUUAGGAGGAACACCAGUGGCGAAGGCGACUUUCUGGACUUGUACUGACGCUGAGGUACGAAAGCGUGGGGAGCAAACAGG